UUUUCCUCACAUUUCAUCUCCAACAUUGGGCACUAGAUCAGGCACCUCGCAGAUGCUGAGGUAGUAUUUGGUUGAAUUAAGGAGUGUUGCUCCCACAGCUUUCAAGCUACUUAGCUGCCAAGUGGCAGGCUGUAGAUUCAAAUGUUUUCUGGCAUCUAAAACUUUUUUUUUUUUUGCUUGGAGGGUUUGUUUUACUUUAUGAUCUCAUCCUUAGAUUACCCUGUGAUCAGCCUCCACUCCUAGGGCAAUAGAGACUCUACUGGCUGUUUAUUUUUACUCUGAAAUAGUUUGACUAGGUCACGUAGUCAUGCGAUUCAAAACUUAAAGCUGUACAAAAGCAUAUUUGUGAAUAUCUUAUCCUGUUCUCAAUCCUAGUUUUCCCCGACCUUCUAGCUUUUACAGAUAAACAUGUUUACUGUGAAUCUGUCCAGUGUUUCUUUUUAUAAUACAAGUAUAUAUUAUUAUUUGUCCUUUUUUCAAAAGGUGGCAUACAGCAUACACUCUUUUGCAUCUUUUCUAUGUUUUGUUUGUUUGUGACGGAGUCUUGCUCUGUUGCCGGGCUGGAGUGCAGUGGCGUGAUCUCAGCUCACUGCAACCUCCGCCUCCCAGGUUCAAGCGAUUCUCCUGCCUCAGACUCCUGAGUAUCUGGGACUACAGGCACGUGCCACCACAGCCAACUAAUUUUUUUGUAUUUUUCGUAGAGAUGGGGUUUCACCAUGUUGGCCAGGAUGGUCUCUAUCUCCUGACCUUGUGAUACACCGCCUCGGCUUCCCAAAGUGCUGGGACUACAGGUGUGAGCCACUGCACCCAGCUGCAUCUUUUCUAUGUUUAAUUAUCACUGAGUAGCAGCACAGCACCUUGAGGGAUUCUGUCCCUGCCUCUUCUUCACAAUCUAUCACACAGCUUGCAGGGGCAUCAGAAACUGAAAAGCUAUCUUCUCCUAUUUGAAACAGUUCUAAAGCUGCUUUAAUAAUGGCCCAAUCAUUCCAUACUGUAAGUGGGAUGAUUUUACCCUCCCUACUUGCUUAAUUCUUUGCCAAUUUUUCCCCAAUCUUUUAGAUCUAAAGUUCCCUGUUCUGGAAACCAUGGGCAGAAUUGUUCUAUUAUUUGAAAUGGAGUGAUUAAAUUUUCUGUAGAGACUCUAACUCCCUCUCUUCUUAAAAGAAUUUUACUAAAGCUGAGAUAAGAGGCAUAUUUACUAUCAGUUUGUCCCAUUUUUACUCUGGGUUCCUCCAAGCGCACAAGCUUACCACAAGGCUGACCAUGGAUGUACCUGGAAAUCUCUCGUUGACUUGUCCUCAAUGACCACAGUCUAGCAUAUCUUCACCCUAGAGAAAAGCACCCACAUUGGGCACCAGAUGAAGGGGGCCAGCCCCUCCACACCUGUGGGUGUUUCUCAUCAGAUGAGACGAGAGACUGAGAAAAGAAAUAAGACACAGAGACAAAGUAUAGAGAAAGAAUAGUUGGCCUAGGAGACCAGCACUCAGGAUAUGGAGGACCCGCGCCAGCACUGGUCUCUGAGUUUCUUCAGUAUUUAUUGACCACUAUCUUUAUAAUCUUGGUGAGGGGGAUGUGGCAGGACUAUAGGGUAAUGGUGGGGAGAGGGUCAGCAAGAAAACAUGUGAGCAAAGGACUCUGUCAUAAAUAAGUUUAAGGAAAGGUGCUGUGCCUUGAUGUGUACGUAGGCCAGAUUUAUGUUUGACUUUACACAAGCAUCUCCAUGCAGUAAAGAGCAGUAUUGCCCCCAGCAUGUCUCACCUCCAGCCAUAAGGCAGUUUUCUCCUAUCUCAGUAAAUAGAAUGUAUGAUCAGGUUUUACACUGAGAUAUUCCAUUCCAAGGGAUGAGCAGCAGACAGAUGCCUUCCUCUUAUCUCGACUGCAAAGAGAUCUUCCUCUUUCACUAACCCUCCUCAGCCCAGACACUUUAUGGGUGUCGGACUGGGGGAUGGUCAGGUCUUUCCCUUCCCAUGAGGCCAUAUCUCAGGCUGUCUCAGUGGGGAGAAACCUUGGACAAUACCCAGGCUUUCUAGGGCAGAGGUCCCUGUGGCCUUCUGCAAUGCAUUUUUUCCCUGGGUACUUGAGACUGGAGAAUGGUGAUGACUUUUACCAAGCAUACUACCUUCAAACACAUUUUUAACAAAGCACAUCCUGCACAGCCCUAAAUCCAUUAAACCUUGAGUCAACAGAGCACAUGUCUCUGCAAGCACAAGAUUGGGGCUAGGGUUACAGAUUAACAGCGUCUCAAGGCAGAAGAAUUUUUCUUAGUACAGAAUAAAAUGGAGUUUCUUAUGUCUUCUUCUUUCUGCAUAGAUAUAGGAACAGUCUGAUCUCUCUUUCCCCCACACUACUGGCUUCACAUGGAAAGACAAACAAUGGACAUGGAUGAUUGUGCCUCAGGAAUAUACUCAGAGUCCAACUUAUUUCUCAGAAAUAUUGAAACCAAAUGUCUUAUAUGCUGCAUUUUUGAAAACUAUAAUACAAUAUGUGGAUGAUUUCCUUCUUUGUUCAGAAGAUGAGAAAGCUGCUACAAAAAGAUGGGAUUCACUUGUUACAAAAAUUGCUUUCAAAGAGACAUGGGGUCUCCAAUAAAAAAUCUUGAGUUCUGUCAACAACGAGUAAAAUAUUUAGAGUUA